rnacentral:rRNA from 9 species
CGAUUCAAAGUUAGCGAAAUUCCUAGUCAAUUAAUUGUUGACCCGCAUGAAUGGCAUAACGACUUUCCCACUGUCUCAAGAAUAACCCUAGUGAAUUUAGAUUUUGUGUGAAGAUACACAAACACAGAAGUAAGACGGAAAGACCCUAUAAACCUUUACUGUAAUUUUUCAUUGUUAAUGUGUAUAUUUUGUGUAGAAUAAGUGGGAGCUGUUAUUAAGUCUCAAUGUAAUAGUUGAUUACUGAAGCAAAUUAUGAAAUACCACUCUAAAUAUACCCAUUAGCUUAUAAUUUUUGACAUUGAAAAUUUUAUAGUUUAACUGGGGCGGUAGUCUCCAAAAAUGUAACGGAGAUCUGCAAAAACAAGUUCAGAUUCAAUUUAUUGAAUUGCAGAGCAUAAUGGCAAAUACUUGUUUGACUGGAAGAGUUACAACUCCACCAGAGAUAUUGAGUCGGUCAUAGUGAUCCGAAAAUUAUACAUGGGUAUAUUUUCGCAUAAGGGAUAAAAGGUACUUUAGGGAUAACAGGCUUAUGAUUCUCGAGAGUUCAUAUCGACAGGAUCGUUUGGCACCUCGAUGUCGACUCUUCGCAUCCUGGAGCCGCAAAAGGUUCCAAAGGUUCGGCUGUUCGCCGAUUAAAGCGGAACGUGAGUUGGGUUUAGAACGUUGUAAAACAGUUUGGUCCCUAUCUGCUUUUGUUGUAAAAAAGUGAAAAGUUUUAUCUUUAGUACGAGAGGACCAAGA